GGACUGAAAGCCACAAGGGGGUCUGAGGAGCAGGCUUAGGAAAGGGCUGCUGAGACCCAGUGCCCGCUGUGGCCUCAGGGCCGUCCCAGAAAUGGGCGGCUGGUUCCCAAGAGCAGAGCCAUGGGGACCCUGGAGACCGACCCACUCCUGUCACUGUUCAUUUAGGGGAGACAGUGUUGGUUGAGAGCGAUUUACGGGACAGGGCAGGUCUGAGGCGGGGGACUUCACGGGGUGACCUCUGGGGGCCAUUCUGGGGGUGCCAGGUCUCAAGGUGUAGGGCCUCUGGCCGCACUGCGGCGCGGGUGACAGAAGGAAACCGGGACUGGCGGGAAUCUGCGUCCAUGUGGCCCAAGUCCUAACUCACUUGUUUCCAUCUCCUGGUGCCCUUGGUCCUACAAUGACUGAGUCAGCCCUGGCUGCCUGGGGACCGUCAGAGGAGAGGGCAUCACCUGGGAGCAUCUGGAUGUUGUUCGAGGCCUCAAACGGGGCGCCGUCCUUCAUCCAGAUCCCCAUUUCUCCUGCCGGGACAGUCCGUGCCAACUACCCUCGGGGGACGGACGGACACCUGGGGGCCCUGUCACCUCUCCAAGCCUCAGCGCUUCGUUGGUGACACAGAGGGACAAGCACAUCUCCCACCCCAUAGGCUUGUCCAACCAAUCAGGCCUGUGCAAACGCCCAGCCCGUGACAAACGUUCAGCCAAUACAGCUAUGACUAUUUUUGUUGUUGUUGAACCUGAAGAAAUGGGGAAGAAAAACAUAGCAGAGUGCUUUGGGGGAAGCUGUCUGUUCGGAGCUGGCCACCUUGGCUCCCCCUCCUUUCGGCGCCCAGGGAGGCCCGGAGAUGCCCAGCACUUACCCAGGACGCUAAGUUGGAAGUGUUUGGUCUUCUCCCCUACGGCACUGGCUGCAAUGCAGGAGUAGUGGCCAGAACUAGACAGGUCGGCCUGGACGAUCUGCAGGAGAGCUCCGUCUGGAGAAAUGCGAAUUUUCUAGAUGUCUACAAGGCUGCGGUAUUUAAUUGCAUCGCUGCAGGACAAGUCUCUGGAGACAGGCUCCCGUUAUGUGCAGGAACCUCACAGAGGGGGGCCAAGACGACGCCUCGCGGGGCUCACGGACUCAUGGAGAAGCAGACAUUGAAGAACGAGGGUGGUGACAUGACAGGACAGCCUGGCGGGGUGCCCUUCGGUCACGGUCAGGAUGCGGGGUUCCCUCGAGGGGAACACAGGAGGCACUGGGGGAGAACAGAGAGGCGUAUGAGGUGACAGACCGGAGGCCGGUGUGGUCGAGACACUGCCUGAGGCGGCCCAGCCAGGAGGAGGUGGAACUGAGAUUUACAUCCAGGCUGCGGUCCCCACAGUCCCCGGCCCUCAUCGACCCUCCCCUUGUUGGGCCAGAGGCCCGACGAAGGGCUCCCAUCCCCCAAGGCCAGGAGGCUUUGGAAGAAGGAGUAAAAAACAGGUGAAAAGCGAGAGGCUCGGCUUUGUGGGGACCGAGCGAGGCCCCUGCAGCAGCUUCUGACCAGGUCAGGAGGAUGUGCCCCGGGUGCUGGGUCACGCUGAGCUGAACUGAUCUCGUACGGCCCCCCCCAGGCCCUGCCCUGCACACCUCC